rnacentral:lncRNA from 1 species
GAAGUGGACCAUCUUGGAGGAUAGCUGAGCACCAUUAACUUAGUUAAAUUUAUGUUUUUGGCGAUACAAAUUUCUUCUUCAGACCUUCAGAGAUUUACCACUGUAGGUUCUCCAAGGCCUGAUGUCAGAUCUGUGCACAGAGAGUUGUCUGUUUUGUUCACUGUAGGUUCUCCAAGGCCUGAUGUCAGAUCUGUGCACAGAGAGUUGUCUGUUUUGUUCACUGUAGGUUCUCCAAGGCCUAGAACAUAAGUGCCGCCCAAAAAACACUUGCUGAGUAAAAAUAGCCAAGUUGGAUGGCAUUUACCAUGUGCCAGGCACCAUCUUAAGCUGUAUAAAUACCAAUCACUCAUAAAUAUCAAAACAACUCUAGGGGAUUAAUUCUAUUAUCCUAUUUUCUAGAGAAGAAAACUGAGGCAAAGGACUUCUUAAAAACUUGCCCGAGGUUCCAGGUGGUCAGGAUGGAAGCUGGGCUCGCCCCAGGUGCUCCGCCCCAGGUGCUCCACCCCGGGUCCAGGCUGUCCAUCAUGAUGCUGUGUGGAAUGCGUGAGUGAGGUGGUCAUUCUCGGGUCUUGAAGUCAACAGCUGGGAAGGCUUCUCCUUCCAUUAAUGCAACCACAAAACCAUGGAUGGAAAAGGACGCAUCUUAUUUUCAAGUGGAAAUGCUGCUUGGGCCCUUUUCAUGACGGCAGACUCUUCAGCGGUGGCCAGAGGGUGAAAACAACAGGUCACGCUGUCAGCGCGUGAAGUUGUUCCUGUGGCCCCGGCCCUCCAAUGAGAAUGAUGAGUGCUCGCUGUCUGGCGCAUGCUAUUCAGGGUUUCCUCGUUCAGCAUCACCAUCAGGAGCACAUUCCGCCGUCACUCUGCCACCUGCACUGAGCACUCCGGGCCCCCCUGCCGCUAUUCUCCAUCCCUGCUCAACCAGAUGCAGCACCAAGCAAUGUGUGGGCUGGGGCUCAUUUCUCGAAUAAAGGGGCAUGUUCACAGUUCAGCUUCCCCAUGAACAAGACACGUGGUGAACACGUUUAGAAACCAGUCAGAGCAGCACAGAGGUGAGGUGAGAAGGAAAGGCUGCCAGACUCACCCAGCCUCCAACUUCACUCGAGGUUGGCUCAGACAAAGGAACAUCCGCUGCAUCCGCAGAGGCCCUGGUGCCUCCUGUUGGACUAUUUCUAUUUCCAAUUAUCAGCUUUUCUCUAAAGAAAUUAAAUUGUUCAAAAGUUUUCACAAUUUUUAAGUCUUUCCAACAUUCCUUAAAUGUGGAUAACAAUCACUCAUUGUUUAGACAGAAGGAAGGAAUGAAGAACGAGGGGCAGGUGACUCAGCUGUGACUCCUCGGCGGGAAAAGCACAGAGUGAGCAAAGAUAUUCUCCUCCCCAACCCAGAGUUCCUUCCAAACAUGCCUGCCCUUCUGGCAAGCUUCGUCUCUGAGCUGUGUGUCCACCUGGAGAACACACCUGGUCUCACCAGCCCCCUCAUUCUGAAAGAGUGAAGAGCCUGCCGAGGAAGUGCACAGGAGCAUGUCUGCCUCCUUCAGUGAGCAAGUCAUGACAGCCACAGUGACACUCAGGUAACCUGUUGACAAAUGUUCUUCAGAGCAAGUGUGAUGGUUAAUACUGAGUGUCAAUUCGAUUGGAUUGAAGGAUGCAAAGUGUUGAUCCUGGGUGUGUCUGUGCAAUCUGCUCACAGCAGAGACCAACACUGAGCCCUCAAUAUGGCACCAUUCCUUGGGGUGAUCUGCCAGCUCCCUGGUGGCAGGUUGAUUAUAUUGGACCUCUUCCAUCUCCUAACUUUAAGUCAAGAGGCUAAGAGAGGAGUUACAGUGUUGGCUGGGGCGAUUGACCUGGAGUAUCAAGAUGAAAUCAGUCUACUACUCCACAACAGAGGUAAGGAAGAGUAUGCAAGGAAUGCAGGAGCUCCAUUCAGGCAUUUCUUGGUAUUACCAUGCCCUAUGAUUAAGGUCAAUGGGAAACCACAACAGCCCAAUCCAGGCAGGACUACAAAUGGUCCAGACCCUUCAGGAAUGAAGGUUUGGGUCUCUCCAUCAGGAAAAAAAACACGACCUGCUGAGGUGCUUGCUGAAGGCAAAAGGAGUACAGAAUGGGUAUUAGAAGGAAGUCAUUAAUACCAGCUAUGACCAUGUGACCAGAUGCAGAAAUGGGGAUUGUAAUUGUCAUGAGCAUUUCCUCCUUCUUUUGUUAAAAACAUACUUGUGCAUGUAUACACUUGUACUAAGAAAAUAUCUUCAUUUUAUUUCUUUUUCCUUUAUCAUGUGACAUUAGAUUUAUUGCCUUCAUGUCAGCAUUUAAGUAAACUUUGUGUGACAGUAUUUGGGUUGGGGAUUGGUGCGUUUCCAGUCCUACCAAGAAUAGUUGUAUUAUGUUAGGU